rnacentral:rRNA from 1 species
UACAGAGGGUGCGAGCGUUGUUCGGAAUUAUUGGGCGUAAAGGGCGCGUAGGCGGUGCGGUAAGUCACCUGUGAAAUCUCCUGGCUCAACUGGGAGCUUGCAGGCGAAACUGCCGUGCUGGAGUGUGGGAGAGGUGAGUGGAAUUCCCGGUGUAGCGGUGAAAUGCGUAGAUAUCGGAAGGAACGCCGGUGGCGAAAGCGACGUGCUGGACCAUUUCUGACGCUGAGGCGCGAAAGCCAGGGGAGCAAACGGG